CCUACGGGAGGCAGCAGUGAGGAAUAUUGGUCAAUGGACGAGAGCCUGAACCAGCCAAGCCGCGUGAAGGAUGACUGCCCUAUGGGUUGUAAACUUCUUUUAUAAAGGACUAAAACGAGGCACGUGUGCCUUUUUGCAUGUACUUUAUGAAUAAGGAUCGGCUAACUCCGUGCCAGCAGCCGCGGUAAUACGGAGGAUCCGAGCGUUAUCCGGAUGUAUUGGGUUUAAAGGGAGCGUAGGUGGGUUGUUAAGUCAGUUGUGAAAGUUUGCGGCUCAACCGUAAAAUUGCAAUUGAUACUGGCAGUCUUGAGUACAGUAGAGGUAGGCGGAAUUCGUGGUGUAGCGGUGAAAUGCUUAGAUAUCACGAAGAACCCCGAUUGCGAAGGCAGCUUACUAGACUGUGACUGACACUGAUGCUCGAAAGUGUGGGGAUCAAACAGGAUUAGAUACCCGAGUAGUC
rnacentral:rRNA from 1 species